UGCUUAACACAUGCAAGUCGAACGGAAAGGCCCUGCUUUUGUGGGGUGCUCGAGUGGCGAACGGGUGAGUAACACGUGAGUAACCUGCCCUUGACUUUGGGAUAACUUCAGGAAACUGGGGCUAAUACCGGAUAGGAGCUCCUGCUGCAUGGUGGGGGUUGGAAAGUUUCGGCGGUUGGGGAUGGACUCGCGGCUUAUCGGCUUGUUGGUGGGGUAGUGGCUUACCAAGGCUUUGACGGGUAGCCGGCCUGAGAGGGUGACCGGCCACAUUGGGACUGAGAUACGGCCCAGACUCCUACGGGAGGCAGCAGUGGGGAAUAUUGCACAAUGGGCGGAAGCCUGAUGCAGCAACGCCGCGUGCGGGAUGACGGCCUUCGGGUUGUAAACCGCUUUCGCCUGUGACGAAGCGUGAGUGACGGUAAUGGGUAAAGAAGCACCGGCUAACUACGUGCCAGCAGCCGCGGUGAUACGUAGGGUGCGAGC
rnacentral:rRNA from 1 species